GACCAGACUCCUACGGGAGGCAGCAGUGGGGAAUAUUGCACAAUGGGGGAAACCCUGAUGCAGCGACGCCGCGUGAGUGAAGAAGUAUUUCGGUAUGUAAAGCUCUCUCAGCAGGGAAGAAAAUGACGGUACCUGACUAAGAAGCCCCGGCUAACUACGUGCCAGCAGCCGCGGUAAUACGUAGGGGGCAAGCGUUAUCCGGAUUUACUGGGUGUAAAGGGAGCGUAGACGGCAUGGCAAGUCAGAUGUGAAAGCCCGGGGCUCAACCCCGGGACUGCAUUUGAAACUGUCAGGCUGGAGUGCAGGAGAGGUAAGUGGAAUUCCUAGUGUAGCGGUGAAAUGCGUAGAUAUUAGGAGGAACACCAGUGGCGAAGGCGGCUUACUGGACUGUAACUGACGUUGAGGCUCGAAAGCGUGGGGAGCAAACAGGAUUAGAUACCCGAGUAA
rnacentral:rRNA from 1 species